UACGGGGGGGGCAAGCGUUGUUCGGAAUUACUGGGCGUAAAGGGCUCGUAGGCGGCCAACUAAGUCAGACGUGAAAUCCCUCGGCUUAACCGGGGAACUGCAUCUGAUACUGGAUGGCUUGAGAUUGGGAGAGGGAUGCGGAAUUCCAGGUGUAGCGGUGAAAUGCGUAGAUAUCUGGAGGAAUACCGGUGGCGAAGGCGGCAUCCUGGACCGACAUUGACGCUGAGGCGCGAAAGCCAGGGGAGCGAACGGG
rnacentral:rRNA from 1 species